rnacentral:rRNA from 1 species
ACUCAAAUGAAUUGACGGGGGCCCGCACAAGCAGCGGAGCGUGUGGUUUAAUUCGAUGCUACGCGAAAAACCUCACCCAGGCUUGAAAUGCACGUGGUAGGAAAGGGAAACCGGCCCGACCCUUCGGGGAGCGUGCACAGGUGUUGCACGGCCGUCGUCAGCUCGUGCCGUGAGGUGUUGGGUUAAGUCCCGCAACGAGCGCAACCCCUGUCGCCAGUUGUACUUCUCUGGCGAGACUGCCGAGAAAACCUCGGAGGAAGGAGGGGACGAUGUCAGGUCAGCGUGGCCCUUACGCCUGGGGCUACACACACGCUACAAUGGACGGUACAAAGGGUCGCCAAGCCGCGAGGCGGAGCUAAUCCCAUCAAAACCGUCCUCAGUUCGGAUUGCAGGCUGAAACUCGCCUGCAUGAAGCCGGAGUUGCUAGUAACCGCAGGUCAGCAUUACUGCGGUGAAUACGUUCCCGGGCCUUGUACACACCGCCCGU